AUCCAGCUGACGAGUCUCAAAUAGAACGAAACAUACUUCCUGGAU
rfam:Schistosoma rodhaini strain Burundi genome assembly, scaffold: SROB_scaffold0016378